CAAUUUUCUGUGAACACGGGAGGAUCCAUAUCUGUUAAAGAUUAAAUCUGCCGUGUCCUCUCUCUUUCAUUGAAAUUAUUUUAUCACCUAAACCUAUCAUAUCACCUUUCAAAGGAAAGCUUCUAAUGAUCUUCUCAUCUCCUCCGUUUACUCGAUUGCUUUUCUCCGCUAAUCCUUUCAGAAACUCACAUCUAUUUGUCGCACAAAGCAUGGACUGCAGGAUUGGUAUUUCUCGCUAGUGGACAUCAAUUAUUUAAUAUUAACCACCACGCCUCCCACUUACCAGAAACAAUGAAAUUUCAAAGAACACUGCUUCUUCCUUUAGAUUGCAUCAGCGUAAAUCAAUAUCCAACUCUAAUAGAAGAUGUUUGUUGUCUAAUAACAUAAAUUUAGAAAAAUCAUUCACAAGCAAACAAUACAGCAUCAGCCGAACAGUUUUUCAACUCAUGAAAAACACUCCAUUACGCAACCAAGCUUUUAGAAAUAAACGACAACCUGGAGAGCACUGUAGUGGAACAUUUGCUCAACGAAGACGCAGCAACAUACAGAUCUGAUAAACAUAGAUGAGAGUCACGAGUCUUUUAACCAAUAUAUACAAAAACCAUUAUUUCAUCACGGCUCAAUUUAAGAGGCAACCGACCGCUUUUGAUCUAAUGUCCUACCAUUCCUGUGCAUCCUCAGCAAUCUGGAGUGAUGAAACAGCCUGUGCUGCAAUAAGAUCAGCUGAGAAUUCUGUUGUCCCCCAACCUCCACCCUCGAAGUAUGGCGCAUGAAGAUCUCUUCCAAAAGACCCAUAAGAGAAUGACCAGUUGCUGUUCUCUAUUUCACUCCACUCACAUCCAGUUCCACAAGCAUUGGACAUCCACUCAACUCUUCCAUGUGAAUGACUUGAGUGGUCCUGAUAUGGGCAUGCUGUCUGUUCACCCAUAAGGAGAUUGAUACUAGUAGCACAGUCCCAAGGGUUGAACCCUUCUUCCUUAUUUAGCACAAUUUUACAUGGAUCACCAGAGUCCUCACCAAGUAAUACUUGCAAAGCAACAGCCUCUGCUAUUGCAGCACCUUCUUCAUCAAGCCUUUGCUGUUCUUCCUUUUUUUUCUGUUUCUUCAUCUCUAGUUCAGAAAUGAUGGCUGCAGAAGUAGCAAGUGCUUUCUCCAAACGCCUCUUUUUCUUUUCAGCCUGUUUGAGACGAUCCAACUCACCUUUCGCCUGCUUUUUCUUCACUUUCCUCACAACAGGUUGCACUUUAUUACACGCUAUGCUAUCCAUGGUAACUAACAAUCUAUAAAUAUUGUCCUGUUUGCUCUACUUUUUACCUUAAAGAGAUCCUCUAAAAUGUGUACAUUUCCCUAUAAUUAUGUUUCCUUCUCUAGUUUGUUUUUCUUUGUUCAAUACCUUAAUAAUUACUAACUAUUUCAGUAUAGCAAUACCUAUAAUAUCUCAGAAGUCUCACAACUACACCCACUCAGGUCUGUAGGAAUACCUCAUCUUCCGGACAACACAUUCCCAAACAGAAACAACAGGAGAUAGCAAAAGAGAAAAAUGGUAAACAUUCACAGACUCAUCCCUUGGCAGCAUUCUUCCUAAUUUGCCACAACCCUUGCAUUUACCCAUUUUGUGCACACCAGUAGAACCACAGAGUCGAUCAAAACUACCAACGCAAUCACUCUGGUUCAAACAGCUCACAUGGCCUUCCCUCCUUGUUUCAAUGGUAGAGGGAUUAGAAGUGCCUUAAGCUUUCCCCGCAGACGCGAAAAUCACACAGAGCGAGACAGAGAGAGAGAGAAAGAAGGGCAGGUCACAAUACAUUACAGGGGUGUUUGGAUCUAGAGAAAGUAAGAGAUAUAAAAUAACUGUAUCACAUGAGAUGGGCGAAGCAGAGAGCGAGGGACUCGGAG
rnacentral:misc_RNA from 1 species